rnacentral:rRNA from 1 species
AUUGAACGCUGGCGGCAGGCUUAACACAUGCAAGUCGAGCGGGGGAAGGUAGCUUGCUACCGGACCUAGCGGCGGACGGGUGAGUAAUGCUUAGGAAUCUGCCUAUUAGUGGGGGACAACAUCUCGAAAGGGAUGCUAAUACCGCAUACGUCCUACGGGAGAAAGCAGGGGAUCUUCGGACCUCGCGCUAAUAGAUGAGCCUAAGUCGGAUUAGCUAGUUGGUGGGGUAAAGGCCUUCCAAGGCGACGAUCUGUAGCGGGUCUGAGAGGAUGAUCCGCCACACUGGGACUGAGACACGGCCCAGACUCCUACGGGAGGCAGCAGUGGGGAAUAUUGGACAAUGGGGGGAACCCUGAUCCAGCCAUGCCGCGUGUGUGAAGAAGGCCUUAUGGUUGUAAAGCACUUUAAGCGAGGAGGAGGCUACUUUAGUUAAUACCUAGAGAUAGUGGACGUUACUCGCAGAAUAAGCACCGGCUAACUCUGUGCCAGCCGCCGCCGUAA